AGAGCGCAGGGAGGAUGCCUUGGCAUCAGGAGCCGAAGAAGGACGUGGUAAGCUGCGAAAAGCUACGGGGAUUGGCAAGCACGAUAUGAUCCGUAGAUAUCCGAAUGGAGCAAUCCACAUGGAGUCAAGUCCAUGUAUCAUAUACUGAAUAAAUAGGUAUAUGAGGGGAACCGCCCGAACUGAAACAUCUAAGUAGGGCGAGGAAAAGAAAUCAACCGAGAUUCUGUGAGUAGUGGCGAGCGAAAGCGGAAGAGGCUAAACCGAGAGGAGCAAUCCUUUCGGGGUUUAGGACUGCAUUUAGUACAAUGAUUGUUAACCGAACAGCAUGGGAAGGCUGAUCAAAGAAGGUGAGAAUCCUGUAGGUGAAAACGAAAGUUGACGAGCAGUAUCCAAAGUACCGCGGGGCACGUGAAAUCCCGUGGGAAGAUGGGGGGACCAUCCUCCAAGCCUAAAUACUACCUGAUGACCGAUAGCGAAUAGUACUGUGAAGCACCCGGAAAAAGCACCCCGGGAGGGGAGUGAAAGAGAACCUGAAACCCUGUGCUUACAAGCACUUAGAGCACGUCAAAGUGUGAUAAGGUACCUAUUGUAGAAUGGUCCGGCGAGUUAUUGUAUGCAGCGAGGUUAAGUAGUUCAGCUACGGAGCCGAAGUGAGAGCGAGUGUUAACAGCACGUUCAGUUGCAUGCAAUAGACCCGAAACCGGGUGACCUAUCCAUGUCCAGGAUGAAGUGAGGGUAAAACCUCAUGGAGGUCCGAACCCACUCCCGUUGAAAUGGUAGGGGAUGAGGUGUGGAUAGCGGAGAAAUUCCAAUCGAACCCGGAUAUAGCUGGUUCUCCCCGAAAUAGUUUUAGGACUAGCCUCGUGAUCAAGAUUAUCGGAGGUAAAGCACUGAAUGGCCUAGGGGUCGAGAGAUUACCGAAGCCUAUCAAACUCUGAAUGCCGAAUAAUCAUGCACGGGAGUCAGACUGUGUGAGAUAAGUUUCAUAGUCGAAAGGGAAACAGCCCAGACCUACAGCUAAGGUCCCAAAGUACGUUUAAGUGGAAAACGAUGUGAAAUUGCGUAGACAACCAGGAUGUUGGCUUAGAAGCAGCCAUACAUUAAAAGAGUGCGUAAUAGCUCACUGGUCGAGUGACUUUGCGCGGAAAAUUUAACGGGGCUAAAACGUACACCGAAGCUUAGGCUUGCAACUAUGUUGCAGGGGUAGGGGAGCGUUGAAUGAGGGGUGAAGUCGUAGCGAAAGCGACGGUGGACUUCAUUCAAGUGAGAAUGCCGGAAUGAGUAGCGAGAAUUAUGUGAGAAUCAUAAUGGCCGAAAGCCUAAGGUUUUUGGAGGAAGGUUCGUCCGCUCCAAGUAAGUCGGAAGCUAAGGUGAGGCUGAAAAGCGUAGCCGAUGCACAAACGGUUGAAAUUCCGUUACCACAGAAAGAUUUAAACUAAGGGACACUUUUGAAGAGCUGAUGCCGGGUGUUGGUUACCCCGGUCGUAAGGGAACGAAAUCAAGUAGUGAAGUCAGCGUGGAUGAAGGCGAGAAAAGCUUAGUGUAUAUCUUAUGUGUCCGUACCGCAAACCGACACAGGUAGGUAGGAAGAGAAUUCUAAGGCCAACGGGAGAAGGGUAGUUAAGGAACUCGGCAAAAUGUCCCCGUAACUUCGGAAUAAGGGGAGGUUUCUACGGAAACCCGCAGAGAAUAGUCCCAGGCAACUGUUUAUCAAAAACACAGCUCUAUGCUAAAUCGAAAGAUGACGUAUAUGGGGUGACGCCUGCCCGGUGCCGGAAGGUUAAGAGGAGGAGUGAGAGCCCUGAAUCGAAGCCCCGGUAAACGGCGGCCGUAACUAUAACGGUCCUAAGGUAGCGAAAUUCCUUGUCAGGUAAGUUCUGACCCGCACGAAUGGCGUAAUGAUCUGGGAGCUGUCUCAACUGCCCGCCCGGCGAAAUUGUAGUACCGGUGAAGAUGCCGGUUACCCGCGACUAGACGGAAAGACCCCAUGGAGCUUUACUGUAGCUUAAUAUUGGAUUUCGGCAUUUCAUGUACAGGAUAGGUGGGAGACUAGGAAACAUAGGCGUCAGCUUAUGCGGAGUCGUCCUUGGGAUACCACUCUUGGAGUGCUGAAAUUCUAACCUGCAGCCCUGAAUCGGGUUGGGGGACAUUGUUAGGUGGGCAGUUUGACUGGGGCGGUCGC
rnacentral:rRNA from 1 species